UACGAAGGGGGCUAGCGUUGCUCGGAAUCACUGGGCGUAAAGGGCGCGUAGGCGGAUACUUAAGUCGGGGGUGAAAGCCCAGGGCUCAACCCUGGAAUAGCCUUCGAUACUGGGUAUCUUGAGUUCGGGAGAGGUGAGUGGAACUCCGAGUGUAGAGGUGAAAUUCGUAGAUAUUCGGAAGAACACCAGUGGCGAAGGCGACUCACUGGCCCGAUACUGACGCUGAGGCGCGAAAGCGUGGGGAGCAAACAGG
rnacentral:rRNA from 1 species